rnacentral:rRNA from 1 species
CGGUUAAGUUAGAAAGGGCGCACGGUGGAUGCCUUGGCACUAGGAGCCGAUGAAGGACGGGACGAACACCGAUAUGCUUCGGGGAGCUGUAAGCAAGCUUUGAUCCGGAGAUUUCCGAAUGGGGAAACCCACCACUCGUAAUGGAGUGGUAUCCAUAUCUGAAUACAUAGGAUAUGAGAAGGCAGACCCGGGGAACUGAAACAUCUAAGUACCCGGAGGAAGAGAAAGCAAAUGCGAUUCCCUGAGUAGCGGCGAGCGAAACGGGACCAGCCCAAACCAAGAGGCUUGCCUCUUGGGGUUGUAGGACACUCUGUACGGAGUUACAAAGGAACGAGGUAGAUGAAGAGGUCUGGAAAGGCCCGCCAUAGGAGGUAACAGCCCUGUAGUCAAAACUUCGUUCUCUCCUGAGUGGAUCCUGAGUACGGCGGAACACGUGAAAUUCCGUCGGAAUCCGGGAGGACCAUCUCCCAAGGCUAAAUACUCCCUAGUGACCGAUAGUGAACCAGUACCGUGAGGGAAAGGUGAAAAGCACCCCGGAAGGGGAGUGAAAGAGAUCCUGAAACCGUGUGCCUACAAGUAGUCAGAGCCCGUUAAUGGGUGAUGGCGUGCCUUUUGUAGAAUGAACCGGCGAGUUACGAUCCCGUGCAAGGUUAAGCAGAAGAUGCGGAGCCGCAGCGAAAGCGAGUCUGAAUAGGGCGAAUUGAGUACGUGGUCGUAGACCCGAAACCAGGUGAUCUACCCAUGUCCAGGGUGAAGUUCAGGUAACACUGAAUGGAGGCCCGAACCCACGCACGUUGAAAAGUGCGGGGAUGAGUGUGGGUAGGGGUGAAAUGCCAAUCGAACCUGGAGAUAGCUGGUUCUCUCCGAAAUAGCUUUAGGGCUAGCCUCAAGGUAAGAGUCUCGGAGGUAGAGCACUGAUUGGACUAGGGGCCCCUACCGGGUUACCGAAUUCAGUCAAACUCCGAAUGCCGAUGACUUAUCCUUGGGAGUCAGACUGCGAGUGAUAAGAUCCGUAGUCGAAAGGGAAACAGCCCAGACCGCCAGCUAAGGUCCCAAAGUAUACGUUAAGUGGAAAAGGAUGUGGAGUUGCUUAGACAACCAGGAUGUUGGCUUAGAAGCAGCCACCAUUUAAAGAGUGCGUAAUAGCUCACUGGUCGAGUGACUCUGCGCCGAAAAUGUACCGGGGCUAAACGUAUCACCGAAGCUGCGGACUGUUCUUCGAACAGUGGUAGGAGAGCGUUCUAAGGGCUGUGAAGCAAGACCGGAAGGACUUGUGGAGCGCUUAGAAGUGAGAAUGCCGGUAUGAGUAGCGAAAGAGGGGUGAGAAUCCCCUCCACCGAAUGCCUAAGGUUUCCUGAGAAGGCUCGUCCGCUCAGGGUUAGUCGGGACCUAAGCCGAGGCCGAAAGGCGUAGGCGAUGGAUAACAGGUGAUAUUCCUGUACCACCUCCUCACCAUUUGAGCAAUGGGGGGACGCAGGAGGAUAGGGUAAGCGCGGUAUUGGAUAUCCGCGUCCAAGCAUUAGGCUGGGAAUAGGCAAAUCGUUUCCCGUGAAGGCUGAGCUGUGAUGGCGAGCGAAUUAUAGUAGCGAAGUUCCUGAUUCCACACUGCCAAGAAAAGCCUCUAGCGAGGUGAGAGGUGCCCGUACCGCAAACCGACACAGGUAGGCGAGGAGAGAAUCCUAAGGUGAUCGAGAGAACUCUCGUUAAGGAACUCGGCAAAAUGACCCCGUAACUUCGGGAGAAGGGGUGCUCUGUUAGGGUGCAAGCCCGAGAGAGCCGCAGUGAAUAGGCCCAGGCGACUGUUUAGCAAAAACACAGGUCUCUGCGAAGCCGUAAGGCGAAGUAUAGGGGCUGACGCCUGCCCGGUGCUGGAAGGUUAAGAGGAGCGCUUAGCGUAAGCGAAGGUGCGAAUUGAAGCCCCAGUAAACGGCGGCCGUAACUAUAACGGUCCUAAGGUAGCGAAAUUCCUUGUCGGGUAAGUUCCGACCCGCACGAAAGGCGCAACGAUCUGGGCACUGUCUCAACGAGAGACUCGGUGAAAUUAUAGUACCUGUGAAGAUGCAGGUUACCCGCGACAGGACGAAAAGACCCCGUGGAGCUUUACUGCAGCCUGAUAUUGAAUGUUGGUACAGCUUGUACAGGAUAGGUAGGAGCCUUGGAAACCGGAGCGCCAGCUUCGGUGGAGGCAUCGGUGGGAUACUACCCUGGCUGUAUUGACCUUCUAACCCGCCGCCCUUAUCGGGCGGGGAGACAGUGUCAGGUGGGCAGUUUGACUGGGGCGGUCGCCUCCUAAAAGGUAACGGAGGCGCCCAAAGGUUCCCUCAGAAUGGUUGGAAAUCAUUCGCAGAGUGUAAAGGCACAAGGGAGCUUGACUGCGAGACCUACAAGUCGAGCAGGGACGAAAGUCGGGCUUAGUGAUCCGGUGGUUCCGCAUGGAAGGGCCAUCGCUCAACGGAUAAAAGCUACCCCGGGGAUAACAGGCUUAUCUCCCCCAAGAGUCCACAUCGACGGGGAGGUUUGGCACCUCGAUGUCGGCUCAUCGCAUCCUGGGGCUGUAGUCGGUCCCAAGGGUUGGGCUGUUCGCCCAUUAAAGCGGUACGCGAGCUGGGUUCAGAACGUCGUGAGACAGUUCGGUCCCUAUCCGUCGCGGGCGCAGGAAAUUUGAGAGGAGCUGUCCUUAGUACGAGAGGACCGGGAUGGACGCACCGCUGGUGUACCAGUUGUUCUGCCAAGGGCAUCGCUGGGUAGCUAUGUGCGGACGGGAUAAGUGCUGAAAGCAUCUAAGCAUGAAGCCCCCCUCAAGAUGAGAUUUCCCAUUCCGCAAGGAAGUAAGAUCCCUGAAAGAUGAUCAGGUUGAUAGGUCUGAGGUGGAAGUGUGGCGACACAUGGAGCUGACAGAUACUAAUCGAUCGAGGACUUAACCAAUUU